CAAUAGCGUAUAUUAAAGUUGUUGCAGUUAAAAAGCUCGUAGUUGGAUUUGUGGCGUACGGUGUGUUCCGGGCACUUGUUGUCUGAGUAACCUGCUGUUGCCAUCCUUGGGUGGAACCUGUGUGGCAUUAGGUUGUCGUGCAGGGGAUGCCCAUCAUUUACUGUGAAAAAAUUAGAGUGUUCAAAGCAGGCUUAUGCCGUUGAAUAUAUUAGCAUGGAAUAAUGAGAUAGGACUUUUUUGCUAUUUUGUUGGUUUGCGCAAAGAGGUAAUGAUUAAUAGGGACAGUUGGGGGUAUUCGUAUUCCAUUGUCGGAGGUGAAAUUCUUGGAUUUUUGGAAGACGAACUACUGCGAAAGCAUUUACCAAGGAUGUUUUCAUUAA
rnacentral:rRNA from 1 species